CUGGCCCUUUCAACAGAAGGCAUUGUGACAUAUCUCUGGUCCUAUCAUUUAUGUGACAUGACUCUCCUCUUCUGCCUGGACACUGCCCACAAGGGGCAUUGUGCCAUACAGUUGGGCAUAGCCCCGAAGUUAUGUUACUUUUCUGCCAGGAACUUGCCUACAAGGAGAACAUCAGAACAUUUCUGCCUCAGCAUAUAGGUUAUAUGGCUGUCAUGCCUUUCAUUACCACAGAGUAAGUUUUGACAUUUACCUAGGCACAGCUCACAGGCAUGAUAAUGACUCUCAUAUGUGGACCCCACAAGUAGGAGUAAUUUUGACUCUUGUAACUUGCUUUAGAAACAUAAGUGAUGUCUUAGAUCUCUUUCUGGCGAAAAGGUCACAGAAGAUUAUAACAGCCUCAGAUAAUUUGCAGCCCUUGGCUUGUACAGAGAGUGUCAGAACAGAACCCAGCAGAAAGGAGAAAUUGUGAGUCUCAUAUGUACACCCAGCUGACUGUAAGGACUGUCACCAUCUUACAUACAUGAAGCCAACUGUCACACAUGAAAAGAGGACAUGUGUGGUAUUGUAAAUCUCAUCUCGAAUAUUCUCUCAGUGUGACUGUGAUAUAAAUCUUUGCCAAGCAUCUGUGUGAUUUGACUCUCCAAACUGGUUCCAGCCCAUAUAUACGGGAUUGUGAUCUCUACCUGGGCCAACCUCUAGAUAAUGUGACUCUCCUGCCUGGGCCCUUCUCUCAGUAAGGGUUGUGACAUAUCACUGGAUCUAACACCCAAGUGAUGUUACAUUCUUGCCUGGACCAUGCACAGAGACAUCAUUGUGACAUAUCACUGUGUCCACCACUUAGGUGAUGUAACUCUCCUCUCUGGAAUGGACCCUGAAUACGGAGUGGUAGUGACAUCUUCCUAGGCCAGACACACAGGUGUUGGUACUCUUUUUCCAGGGCUAUGUUUCAAGGAGGGCAUUGUGACAUAUCUCUGGACCUAUCACCGAGGUGAUAUGAUUCAACGCUUGGGCCUCACCGACGUAGAACAUUGUGACAUAAAAGUUAAACCUGCACCAAAGGUGUUGUAACUCUUUCACCUUGGUCCUGUCCUAAGGGAGCCCUGCAACAUAUCUCAGGACCCAGCACUCAGGUGAUGUGACUCUUCUGCCUGGUUUCUGCCCAUGUGUUAGACUGUGACAUAUACCUAAAGAAGUGCCUAGGUGAUAUGACUCUCCUAUUCUUCCUGAGUCCUGCCUACUGGGGACAUUGGAAUAUGUCUCUGAGCCCAUGGCCUAAGUUAUAGGACUCUCUUCUUCUGCCAGGGCCUUUAAAAUGGUGGGGUUUUGACAUAUUCCUGAGCCCAGCAUUUAGGUCAUCUGACUCUACUCUUUUAUCUGAACCAUGUCAAAGGGAAAUUUUGACCUAUUGCACCCAGAUGAUGUUACUCUUCUGCCAGAGUCCUGAAUAAAGAGGGAAUUUUUGCAUACUGGUGGGCCCAGCACCAUGAUGAUGGUACUGUCCUGCCUGUGCCAGAGCCAUAGAGAGUAUUUUGAAAUAUCUUUGGCCCAUUCUGUAGGUGUUUUGGCUCUCAUCACUUGGCUAAGUUUUUCCACAUGUGGAAUUGUGUCAUAUUGUUGGGUCCAGCACACAGUUAAUGUGACCCUCCUUCUUAGGUUCUGCCUAGAGAGGGCAUUGUGACACGUUGCUUGCCACAUCACCUAAGUGAUGUUACUCUUUUUCUUAAUUUUUUGCCCACAAAUGGGAUUAUGACAUAUACCUUGCUUCAGUCCAUAGGCAUGAUGGUCAAACUUAUACUGGGAUGCAGCCAAUAGAAGGUAUUUUGCCUCUCAUUGCUAGGCUUAGGGCAAUAGGUAAAAUCCUCGGUUGCAUAUUUGUGCAAAGCUCACAGAAGUUUACAACACUGAUUCAUAUUGUAUAAACUCCUUAGGUGGUACAGAGAGCUUCAUAACAAGGCCCAGCAAAAAGUUAAGAUUAUGACUGUCAAUUACACACUCAAGUGAAAGUAACAGUUGUCACCAUCCCACAUUUAAAAAGCCCACUGUUGAGGUACUGAGUCUAACAAUUGAAAAGAGUACAAAGAUGGAAUUGUGACUCUCAUAUGUGGAUCUGGCCACAGGUGCAAUCGUGACUCUUUUUUGAACCCAGCUCACAGGGAUAAAAAUGGGUCUCAUUCCUGAACUCAGCCUGAAUGAGAGAUGUUGACUAUCAUGCCUGUGUUUAAGGCAAUAUAUAAGAUUGUGAGUCCAUAUGAGCAUGUGGGCCUUAGAGUAGUUUGCAACUCUCAUGCAUGCCGUAUAAAGCCCUCAGAUGUUGUAGAGGAUGUCAUAUGAUGGCCCAGCACACACGUGACAUUGUGACUCUCAUAUACCCACCUAGCUAACAGUUAAAGGUGUCACCCUCAAAGAUGAGGAGAUUGUGUCAUAUCGCUGGGCCUAGUACCCAGCUGUGAAAACUUUUGCUUAAAUUGUUUCCCAUGUGUGCAUUGGGACAUAUUGUUGGGUCAGAAUCAUAAUAAUGUGACUCUUCUGCCUGGGCCCUGCCAACAAGGGAUAUUAUCACAUAUCUCUGAGCCUAUCAGCUAUGUGAUUUGCCUACUUUUCCUGUGCUUUGCCCCCAAGGAACAUUGUGACAUCGUUGGACAUAGCAUCUAGGAAAUGUGACUCUUCUCUCCUGCCUAGGUCCUGCCCACUAAAGGAAUUGUGACAUACCACUGAGUGCAAAACCUAGCUAGGUGAUGUGACUCUCCUCUUCUUCUUCAGCCCUGUCUACAGUGGACAUGGUACCACAUGACUUGAGGCUGUAUCCAGGUGAUGUGACUCUUCUGACUUGGCCCUGCCUGCAAAGGAAAUUAUAAUAUAUCCUGAGCUCAGAAUCCAGGCGAUGAGACUCUCCUGCCUCUUUUCUGCCCACAAGUGAAAUUGUGACUUAUACCUGCGUUCAGCUCACAUGCACAAAUAUAACUAUUAUACCUGGACCCAGAAAGGAGAGAUAUUUGGACUCUUAUAGCCAGUCCUAUGGCCAUAAGUAAAGUAAAGGGUCCCCUGUUUGUAUAAAGCUCACAGAGGAUUAUGACACUCAGGCACAUCAUAUAAAGCCUGAGUGGUACAAAGAGUGUCAUAGCAGGGAACAGCAACCAGGUGCGAUUGUGACUCUUGGAUGCUCACCCAGCUGACCCGAUUGUCAUUCUCUCACAAGAACAGGGCCUACAUACAAGUUUUUCCAUAAAUUCUUCCCUGAGCCUUGAAGUGAGCCUCUGGUGGUCCAGUGAUCAUUACCAUCCUCACUUUAGCAUCUGGUGCUUCUGCUGGAGCAAUGUUAAUUGAAGCUCCGGCAAAGCGAGAAAGCUGCUUGAUGUGCUUGGCCCUGCUUGCCGAUGAUGACACCGACUGAUAGAGCCUGGAUAAACAGAUGAACAGUCUCCGUUUCUGAUUGCUCAAACUGCGGCUUUGGCACAUGCCUCAACAUUGCCUUUAACUGUAAUGGUGCGUUCUGGAUUAUACAGCGUCAAUUCCUGAAAGCACCUUGAUGGCCUUGAGGGCCCAGCUCUCCUCUGGGCAGUCCAUGAACGCAUAGCCAGUCUUCACCAGGAAGGAUCCCAACACUGGGAUCUUGGCGUCCUUGAAGAUACUUUCUAGGUCCAAGGGGACGGCGUUCUCGUGGAGGUUUCCGAUAUACAGUUUGUUCAUUGUGAAGAAUGGUUGUUUAAAAAAAUUAACGAGAAGAACGAGAAAUUAAAACCACCCAUGGUGAUGGAUGGAUCCAGCUGGUUUUGUUGCUCUCAUCUUCUCACCUUUAAAAUACACAAACACAGAAAGAACCAAGCACAAGAACAAGGAGUGAAAAAUCAGAUCCGAGGCUUGUUUUUCCUUGUCCUAGAUAUGUUUUAAAAGAGAAAGAAAAGAAAAAGCCUAGCUACAACCCAAAUGCAUCAACCAGUCUUCCUAAGUCUCGCUUUUGAAUAAUUUUCAAAUGAGAUGUACACCUAAAUUUUAAGAGUGUUUGAGUUUGUGUUUGCUUUAGUGGUGCUUUAUAUCUGUCUGAUUGUAAGCAUAAUGUUCAUGGAAAGAGACUUUUGGUAGGAAUCAAACUGGGACUCUUACAAUGGCUUAAGUCCAUCAGAAUAGUUCUGAUGCUACUUAGGAGCAUCAGAACUCCUUUCUUUGCCUGAUUUUUCAACUUAUUUCUUAAUUGGAACCCCAUAAAGAACAUGAAUGGUCUUCUGAUAUCCUUAAUGUCUUAGAGUUAUAUCAAUAUUUUGCUUACCAGUAAUCUGUAUGAAAAUAAAGUUUAUUUAGUAAACAAA
rnacentral:lncRNA from 1 species